rnacentral:SRP_RNA from 1 species
GCCAGGCGUGGUGGCGCUUGCCUGUAGUCCCAGGUACUUGGGAGGCUGAGACAGAAGGAUCGCUUGAACCUAGGAGGCAGAGGUUGCAGUGAGCCAAGAUCGUGCCACUGCACUCCAGCCUGGGCGACAAAGCGAGACUCUGUCUCAA